rnacentral:lncRNA from 1 species
GGAAGUCAUGCCAGAGGAAUCCAUGUCUCAUCUCCACCUUCGAUCGGGGACUUCGCUGAUGCCAGAGCCAAUCCACUUGGUAUCUGGAGGCUUUUCCAGCAAACAAAGCAUAUUUUGUAUAACACAUCUGAGUGUGAAAAGUAGGAAACACUUCUAAAGAGAGAGAUUUGGAAGCUUUUAAAAUUAUAAUGCUCUUUUACUGCUUAAUUUCUGAUCUCUCAGCUAUACCCUCCCAAUUUUUAGCCUUGGCUGAGACAUCAACUCAUGAGAUAUUUAUUUUUCCUUGACUCAGUUUCCCCCCAGAGAAACAGGAAAUAGAACCAUAUGCUUAUUUCUAACUCUCAAAUUCAACUAAGAUAUUCAUUUCUGUUUAUUUCAGGCCAUUAAAUAUUCAGUGAGUCCAGGAACCAGGUACUUCAGGGGAUUAAAAAUAAAUAAAUAAAAGAAUCAGAUGCCCUGCUGUCAAGAAGCUCAGAUCUACCAGGUUUAAAAAAAUCCUUAAAUAACCAUACCAAAAGGUAAACUAUGGUAAAUAUCGUAGGAGAAGCUGCCGACAGAUGGCUCAACAAACAACUUCUGUGGCUCUGGUAUGUGCUGGCCUUGCAUCAGGCAUAGAAGGAAAGAAGAUCAAUACAAGUCAGCCGGCCCUUCCCUUCGGGGUGCAGCAGAGGGUCUGGGAGGGAGAAGUAGCCUCUGGUCCUAGUGAUCCAGCAUCCAGUGACAGGAGUCAAGCAAGCUCUGACAGUGCAGCUACCAAUGGCAUGCUUUCUGACGGCAGAGGUGACGCUGGCCAGCAGAGACAGAGAGAUGGUGCUGUGAGCCCGAGAGAACAGCAUGGCAGCCUCAAGACUGGAGGACACCCACCUCUGUGCUGCCAAGAGCACGUGUAGUAGGGGAAGGUGAGGAGGGUGGCUGGAAGCAUCCUUGGAAAAGCAGGUAUUUAUGGUUUGUCUUGCAGACAGUAGAGGAUCACUGAGCUUUGCAGUGUCACAACUGGAAUUUAAGUCAAAAUAGCACGUAAGCCUCUGCCCAAGGCCAGUGGGCUACCAUCAGCCUCCCUUUCCUGGCUGCUGUGGAGUAGUAAUCUUGCCAGGAAAUGGGGAUAAGCAGGGACAGGGACUAGGAAGGGACCUUGCAAGUUCCGCCUUUGCCAUCUCUUCCCUGACCAGAUCCUCCAAACACACCCUUCCGCCAGACAGAACCAUAAUAAACUGCUAGUAGCUAAACAGUGUUAAACCCUGCAAAUGCUCCUAGAACACGAGCUCCAGCAGGGCAAGAAGGUUUGUGCUCUGCUGUGUCUAAAGCACCUAGAAGAGUAGUGGGCAGUGUAGGCGUGCAAUGAGUAUUUGUUAAAUGAACAAAGUUCAAGGCAUGCAGGUAAGUAUAAACAGAGACCAUAAACAAUCUUCAAUGUCAUCUUUAAUCUUUUCUUCUUACAGAUGAGGAAACAGAGGCUUGAUGGUGUCAAAGGAUCCCCUCCAUUCACAGUCAGCCAGGGAGUUAAUCAUUUAGGUGCAAAACAACAACUAUCAUCCAGGUCUCCUGAUGCUGAGUCUAAGGCUCCUUCCAAUGUCCCACAUUACCCCCUGGUUUUUGCAUUUUCAAUGCCCUAUAAUUAAGAGUGAUGAAAUUAGAAAGCAGCAGUUUCUACAUCUCCGAAGAGUUUUAUUCUAAAACUGUUCAGAACCUCCAUGACACAGAGUAUUAAGGUAGUAAAAACCAAUUGUGAGCAGGAUGGGAGAAACAUUCUGAUUUCAGGUCAAUGAAAUAAAAGCAACACUCUCUCCUUGCUUUUACAACUCUGCUGCUUAGCAUUUCUGAGGCUACCUCCAUUACUCUGCUUUGAAACUGCUUGGUAAACUACAUCAGACAUUACUCGACUAACACUCUCACAAUCGGCCCUUCCCCGCUGGCUCCCCAGAGACCAACACAUACCCAAGCUUCAAACAUCAUCCCCUGGCACUAAAAGUGUAUCUAUUUUGAAAGAAAACAAAUAGCAGCUUGUGUCAUCUUUGGAGUAGCUUUUUGGAACCUUCUGCAAAGAUUUAAAAUAAAAAAGCUGCUUGGUAACCAACCGCAGGGUCAGAAACAAAUAUAGGUGAGGGAUAACCAAGCCAGUUUUGAAUGAAGACCAGAGAAGGGAACCUCACAAUGACAUCAUUGUUCAAAAAUCAGGAUUUGUGAUCACUAGCUCUGCGCCGGGCACUGCAAGAUGCUGGGAGUCAGCUGUGAACGUUCAACAGGGUCCUUGUCCUCAAAGUGGGACAAGGUGGGAGUGGUGAGAAGAGGGUGGGGGGGCGUUGGCGGCUAGAAUCAGAGACAUUUAACAAAGACACAAUCACAAGCAGUUCAUUGCAAUGGCAAUACUUACCACAAGGGGUGUGCAGGUGCUAGAGAGUGUCCCAUGGGGUCCUCUGCCGGGCCAGGGCAGUCCCAGGAUAAGGAAGGGCCUGUGCUCAGCCUAAGCAGGAAGGAAGAUCUGAAAAGGCCUGGGUGGCUGGAGUGCCUGGUGCCAGGUGGAGGGGACUUGGCGUGGCUAGAGAGGCAGUCAGGACCAGACCCACAGCAGGCACUGGGCCCAAGAGCACCGCAACUAAGGGUUUUGAACUUCACCCUUUGAGAAUCCAAAGAUUAUAUAAGGAGAUUAUAAUGACAGAGACUUGAUGGUUAAAAGAACAUCCUUUGAAAAACAAGUGUUUAUGUUUUCAGCACAGUACAAACCACGUUAACAAAAUAAUGUAAAUUAGUACAUAAGGACUGCGAGUUCCGCAUUUAAGAGCGACAGCAGAAAAACAUGUUCGUGGAUCCACGAAAUGCAGGGCAUGGUUAGCAACCCCCAGUGGCACUGAUAAAAAAUAACAGGCACAUUUCUGUGGAAAAUAAAAAAGAAAACAAAAAUUAGGGAACAUGAUGUUUCUAAAGACUAUGCUAAAAUUCAAAAUUUGUUAAAAGAAUAAACUAAUGACUCCAUUUUCAAUUUAGUGUAUAAACUAAAUAAUAAAAAUACUGAGGCUUUCAUUACAAAAGAAAAAAAAAGAUCAUUCCUCCUUCUCAAAGCUCCCUCGGCCCCUCCAGCCUACAUCUACAUUCACAGACAUCAUCUAACGUCUUAGCACACAGAUAGCAGUGGGUCAGGCACUGCUUUGCUGGCUGUCUUGGAUGGUUACCUUACUAGCCAACUCUUACAUUUAACACACUUUGCCUGUGUUGAUGGCCAGAGUACCCAUAGGGACUGUGAACUCCUUAAGAAAUUCCCACACACUUUUGUACCAACCAGGGCACCUGGCAACAUGCCAGGCACAUGGGAGCGUCAAGCACUGACUCAUCAAGUGAGCAAUUAGCAAAAGACAGAAAAUGGGAUUUGGAAAUAAUCUGCGGAUUUGGGUUAUAGAGAUCUUCCACAAUUAACUUCAUUAUACAUUAAACAAAGCAAAUCAAAUCCUAUCACACUAGUAAGAAAAGACUAAGGAACAUAAAAAAAAAAAAAAAGAACAUUAUAAAAUUCAAUUGUUUUAAAGACACAGUGCCUCCCAGAUGAGGGGGGGUUUUCCUCUCAGCUCUCUGUGUCAAGAACAUUGUGCUUUCCCUGCAAAAAUGGGCAUGUUUUUAUCUUGUAGACACUGUGGAUAAUAUUAAUUAUGCUUCCCUCUUUCCUUUUUACCAUUUGGCAGCUACAGCCAAAUCUACAUCUCCUUAUGGCAACCAAUAUAAAUGUGCACUUUGCUGUUACCACCUUAACUCAGCUUUGUAUUUUCCUAUGCUUAUUUUACCUUUACCUUUUGCCCCUCGAUUUUUGUCUUCUCCAGCUGUAUCUGUUAUCUAUAGAUGUCACUAUCUCAUAGCCUUUGUAGAAGUGUUUUGAAUAAAUCUGAAUAAAUUACUAAGCAAAGGAUGCUUUAGUGCUCCACGAUUCACUCUAUUGUGCAUCCUUUAGGAAAAUAAUUUUUAAACAAGGCAAUUAAUCCUCUGUUAAGCUGAUUUCCCAAUCAGACCUACCCAGAAUGACUCCCUUGUCCCCCAACAAAAUAUCCAGGGAGUGACAUGAUCAGGUGUAUUAUUUCAGGUGCCUAGCUUUACUUUUCUGUUCCCUGGCUCUUCACAGUUCCUAUUCUCUCUGUUGAUCACUGGGGCCUGUCAGGUCUACUUCCUCGGGUCUCCAGAAUCUAUUUCCUCGCUUGAAUUUCGACUGCCACAGAUAUAAUUCAAGCUCUCAACAUUUCUUUCCCAGGCUGUAUGAUGCUCCAAGCCACUCUCACGGCCUCCCGUCUCUGCUCCAUCCAAUCUAUCUUUCAGUCCAGAAGUGGAGGGUUUGUGCCAAAAUCCAUUCACCCAUUCACGCAUUUGAUAAAUAUCUACUGAGUACCUACUAAAGGUUAGGCGUGUGUGAGGCAUUGGUGGCAAAGAAAUAAAGAAACCUGAUGUCUCUUCAAUAGCUCAUGAAAAGAGCAGAGGCAGAGCCAUAAACAAACGACACUACAGUAUGAUAAGUGUACAGCCUGCCUAGUGUCCUGUCGGGAAAUAACCAUGACGAGUACACACGGCACAUCCAAGAGCUGUGCAGAGCAUGGAGUAUCUACAGGUGAAAGAGGAAGAGAAAGCUGCAGGGGCAGGCCAAGGCCAGGUCAAAAAGGACUGACUUGCUAUGCUGAUCUCAAUACACAAUUUCUAUUUAGAAACUUCCAGUGGUCCCCCAUUCCCAGCUCCAAGUAAGUCCCCAAUCUCCCUUUGUGAUCCAUUCUCAACUCCUAGUCCUGUGCCAGACCCAACUACACCUCACUUCUCCAAGACUCAGAGCAAUGAGGCCCUUGGCCUGCUUCCAGUCGUUGUUCUGGGGCCACAGAAUGUUCCAGCCCACUUCACUCAUCUCUGCCUGCUGAGAACCUUAUUUACCAUCUCCUCAAUAUUUUAUAAUCUGGCAACCACUAACAAGUAUGAAUUAAGUAUGAUUCUUACCUUCAGGGAGGUUACAGUCUUGUGGAAGAAAAUGGUAAGCUGAGUAACUACCAUAGAGAGAGAUUACAAAGAGAUUCUAUCCAAAAGAGACUCCAAGAUAAAACAUUAGCCAUGCACAGCAUUAUUGUUAGCUUUACUUCUCUUAAUUCUAAGAAAAAUCUAGCAGGAAUAGUAGCUCAUAUUAGCCCCAUACCACUGGGACAGAUGCUGCCCAUAGCCCCAGAUA